rfam:Schistosoma haematobium scaffold1586_5, whole genome shotgun sequence.
ACCUUGCUGACGAGUGCUAAGUAGCACGAAACCUGGGUCCAGGGU